UAAAACCAACGAACCCUAUCCCAAGCACGAAAAUGCCAUUCUCAGCAAAGUUUCUCAUUUCCUUUCGGCCACAUCAGGUUUUGUUGAGCCAAAAAUAGCAAUCCUUUAAUUAAUGGCAUUUGUCCGCUAGCUCGGGUGAAUUGAAUUUCAAACGGUAACCUAUUCUUUUUUUUUUUAAUUUUUAUUUUCAAUUCUACUUGGCUUCCCCUGUAAGAUUCGGAUUUCAAAUGCAUUCAAAAUGAAUUUCAACUUCAAUAGUUGUAGCACCUUGAUUUUGGACACAAGAAAACCCUAGAAUUGGCCUCCAUAAAGAGAGAACCAUUUCUUCAUUCUGGGGAGGGUUUUUGAGAUACCUACAAGAUAGGUUUUUUCACAACCACAAAGGAUUUUUACACCCUCAAGAAUGAGAACACUCAGAAACUCGGCUAAGCCUUAAGUUUCGAGGAAGUUCUCGCUCAUUGUUUAAUUUUUGAAGUCUUCUGAUUCAUCGGAAUAGUUGGUUCAGGUGAAAUAGUGGCCAACUUAACUCUCGUCGUCCCCAUCGCUGCCUGAAGAAAAGAUUACUACACUUGGUUAAGGCUCACUGAUUGAAUAUGAUACUACACAUGGGCCGAUGAGAACAUUUAAUUUGAGGUCAUGCCUUGUCUGAAAAGGUUAUCCCUCGGUUUAGGCUAUGGUGACCUCAUAGUAGUAUCACAAUGUAGGGACGAACAUGCAUUUGGCUAGGCAACUAGAAUGGCCACUAGUCUGCAGCCAAGACAUGUUUCGGAUUCCUUUGCCACAUUUAGAAACAUAAGUCUGAGCCUCCAUAAUCAAAGCUCUCAAAGUUUGAUACGAGUCUGAGGGAUACUAUUAUUAUGUUCAUAAACGUCACCCUAUGGGGUGGCGUGCCAUUUUGACUAACUACUUUUCUCUUCAUUGUGCGAGGAACAAAUAAAAUAGCAUGGGAUUUGGGCCCAAUGACGAAAAAGCUAAAAUUUCUUCCCUUUCCUUUAUUUUGUAUAAACAUGCCUAUUUUAUAUGUUUACAUUCAUUUUGUAUGAGCAUGUAUAUACUUGCAAAUACUUGUGUAUAAUUGAAACCCUUUAGAACUUAGUUAAAACCUUGCAUAAGAAAAAAUGAUUCAAGUUGUUUUCAAAAACAGUUUUGUAAAAAGGGGAGAUAUACUCCAUCUUUUUUUCCUAAAUACAUAUAAAUGUAUAUAAAUUUAUAAGGAUAGAAUCAUGACAUUGGACCAAAUUAGUGAAAACUCUACUUAAGAAAAAUCUUAAGUGUGUUUUGGUCCGGAAAUGAAGUGAAUUUAAUCAAUUAUAAACAUUUUCUCAAAGAAAAAUCAACUUUUUCUUCCUUAAAAGAUAAUUUUUCCAAAAAGUGGAGUUUUAUGAUUAGCAUGACAGUGUUAGCAAUAAAGUAAAUAUUUUUAGAAAAUAAUCACAUUAAUCACAUAUUGAAGCUCGUCGGUCAACCGUAUUCGACGGGUCCUUAAUACUAUGGUGCUUAAAACCUUCUUUAGGGGAUCACCAGAACCCUUACCUCAAACUCUGACUUAAAAAGGAUUUUUCUCUUAUUUGACAAAAUCCUUUUAACUCCGUUUUCCUAAUUUCCUUUAUAAAAUGAGGUGGCGACUUUAAAAAUACUAAAAUUCAAUUCAGAGCACCAACUAUAAUAUUUAUGCUAUUUUCUAAAAAGGGGAGAUAUACUACAUCUUUUUCUCCUAAAUAUAUAUAAAUGUAUAUAAAUUUAUAAGGAUAGAAUCAUGACAUUGGGCCAAAUUAGUGGAAACUCUACUUAAGAAAAAUCUUAAGUGUUUUGGUCCGGAAAUGAAGUGAAGUUAUUCAAUUAUAAAUAUUUUCUCAAAGAAAAACCAACUUUUUCUUCCUUAAAAGAUAAUUUUUCCAAAAAGUGGAGUUUUAUGAUUAGCAUGACAGUUUUAGCAAUAAAGUAAACAUUUUUAGCAAAUAAUCACAUUAAUCACACAUUGAAGCUCGUCGGUCAACCGUAUUCUACGAAUCAUUAAUACUAUGGUGCUUAAAACCUUCCUUAGGGGAUCACUAGAACCCUUACCUCGAACUCUGGCUUAAAAAUGAUUUUUCUCUUGUUUGAUAAAAUCCUUUUAACUCCAUUUUUUUAAUUUCCUUUAUAAAAUGAGGUGGCGACUCUAAAAAUACUAAAAUUCAAUUUAGAGCACCAACAACCUCUUAGUAGCUUUUAUGCACCGCGUAAAAGUGAACCGCAAUAAUAAUAAUAAUAAUAAUAAUAAUAAUAAUAAUAAUAAUAAUAAUUAUUAUUAUUAUUAUUAUUAUUAUUAUUAUUAUUAUUAUUAUGUGUAGUAGCAUAUGUUUAUUAUUUGUAUGGUAAUAGUGCUGUUGGUUGUAAUGUUUAGGGGUUAUACACCUUAUAUGAAUAAUAUGAAGCAGUCCUCUCAAUCAGGAUGGAUGAAUCAGGAUGGACCAUCCUCAGCCUAUCCAACUAUUCAAAACGAUGCUCCUUUCUUAAGUUUCGGUGCAAUUGAUUACUAUCGCUAGGGAAAAUUUUACACAAAAUGAGCUCGUUGCACCAAAUGUGGAUCAUUCCUCUAACCCAUGCAAUUUUUAUCGGAAAAAACUUUUACUAGAUGGUGUUGAUUAUCAGAAUUAUAUAGAAUCAUUAUCGAGUGAUAGUGACGACAUACCUAAUGCGGAGGAAUCAGAGGAUGAAGUCCCUUUUUCAGUGAUUGAAAGUGAGGAUGAUAUUAAUCCUCAAAGUCAAGUACCACUGUUAGAAGCGAUAGAGUCCGUCACACCAAGAAGAACUGAAUUCGUAACACCCAGUUCACCAGUAAGAGUCGAUGCCGCAAAGCCAAUUUCAGUAGCUAGAGCCGAUGCUGGAAGAAAUUUCGAUUCAAUGGCAUUGCAAGUAGAUUCCCUAUCUUGAUCAUCUCAAAGGUCAUCCUGAUGCCUCUGUCUUACUAGUGAUGAGGAUCAUAUUCGUCAAAGAUUGUGGAAAGAGCCAAACAAUCUUGUAAAAGAGGAUGUUUAUAUUGACAAAGGCAUGAUAUUCACCUCGAAAAAGUCAUUGCAAAGGGCUGUUAAGAUUUUUUGCAUCCAGAAGAUGAGGGAGUUCAAAUUUGAUGAUUCCACUCAAAAAUAUUGGCGAUUGGUCUGUAGGCGAAAAAAUCAAAGUUGUCAAUGGAUGCUCCGUGGUAAGGAGACUGAUGAUAAGAUGUUGACUAUUUCAAAGUUCUACCCAAAGCACACUUGUGGUAUGGGUGAAUGUCCGCUUGAUCAUUUCAACCUAGAUAUCAAUAUGAUUGCUGCUGUGCUAGUUGACGACAUUGCACAAAGCCCAAGGUUCAAAAUUAAAGAAUGCAUUACCACUGUUGUGAAACUAUAUUGCGAAACCAUAAGUAGGCAAAAGACAUAUCUUGGGCGUAGGCGUGCACAUGAGAUUGUCUAUGAUUAUUGGGAGAGCUCUUUCAAGACGUUGCCAAGAUAAAUGGAAGCUCUACAACACUUCAAUGCUAGUACUGUUGAAUGGAAGCUCAAGGCGAAACCUGGUGUGGCCGGUAAUAUUUUUUAGUUUGUGGUUUGAGCAUUCAAAUCAUGCAUUGAUGGUUUUGCUCAUUGUCGGCCAGUAAUCUCAAUAGAUGGCACACAUGUGUAUGGGGUAUGCGACAUGAAGCUACUAAUUGCAGUUGGAAUGGAUGUGAAUGAGUCUAUAUUCCUCCUGGCUUUUACAUUGCAGCUAAUGAGAACACAGAGACAUGAGAUGUAUUUUUAACCUACUUGGGGCAACACGUUAUUAAGGAUUGAAUGGGUAUAUCUGUUAUAUCAAAAAGAAA